UGACCUUUUGAGGUCCCUUCUAACAUGCAGCCCCUCUGAACCCCAAGGAACAAGGACUGGGGAACAGUGUGAAGGAAAUGUUGUUCGCACCUGUCCAGUCUGGGGCCCAACUGGUAAAAGAGGGAGAGUGAAAUUCCACGUUCCAUCCGCUUGCCCAUGGCUUUCGCCUAUUAUUCCCAUGUUGGCAAAAAUGAAGAGACUCCUAUUCCAUAUGAUUUGGCAGAUUGUAACAUGAAAAGUGUUUUGAAAUAAAUUCAAUGAGCAAAUCUACAA